AGGAAUAUUGGUCAAUGGGCGAGAGCCUGAACCAGCCAAGUAGCGUGAAGGAUGACUGCCCUAUGGGUUGUAAACUUCUUUUAUAAAGGAAUAAAGUCGGGUAUGGAUACCCGUUUGCAUGUACUUUAUGAAUAAGGAUCGGCUAACUCCGUGCCAGCAGCCGCGGUAAUACGGAGGAUCCGAGCGUUAUCCGGAUUUAUUGGGUUUAAAGGGAGCGUAGAUGGAUGUUUAAGUCAGUUGUGAAAGUUUGCGGCUCAACCGUAAAAUUGCAGUUGAUACUGGCAGUCUUGAGUGCAGUAGAGGUGGGCGGAAUUCGUGGUGUAGCGGUGAAAUGCUUAGAUAUCACGAAGAACCCCGAUUGCGAAGGCAGCCUGCUAAACCGCCACUGACGUUGAGGCUCGAAAGUGUGGGUAUCAAACAGGAUUAGAUACCCUGGUAGUCCACACGGUAAACGAUGGAUACUCGCUGUUGGCGAUAGACUGUCAGCGGCUUAGCGAAAGCGUUAAGUAUCCCACCUGGGGAGUACGCCGGCAACGGUGAAACUCAAAGGAAUUGACGGGGGCCCGCACAAGCGGAGGAACAUGUGGUUUAAUUCGAUGAUACGCGAGGAACCUUACCCGGGCUUGAAUUGCAGACGAAUUGCUUGGAAACAGGCAAGCCGCAAGGCGUCUGUGAAGGUGCUGCAUGGUUGUCGUCAGCUCGUGCCGUGAGGUGUCGGCUUAAGUGCCAUAACGAGCGCAACCCUCGUGUCCAGUUACUAGCAGGUUAUGCUGAGGACUCUGGACAGACUGCCAUCGUAAGAUGUGAGGAAGGUGGGGAUGACGUCAAAUCAGCACGGCCCUUACGUCCGGGGCUACACACGUGUUACAAUGGGGGGUACAGCAGGCAGCUACCGGGCGACCGGAUGCCAAUCCCGAAAGCCUCUCUCAGUUCGGACUGGAGUCUGCAACCCGACUCCACGAAGCUGGAUUCGCUAGUAAUCGUGCAUCAGCCACGGCGCGAUGAAUACGUUCCCG
rnacentral:rRNA from 1 species